AAGCGCCUGAUCUCUGGUGCUCUACAGAUUAGUCUCCCUUCCUGGCUUUGACAGCUUUAUUAGAGAGCUUGUACCCAGAUCCUUUCGAGGGGAGAAAAAUGUGUUUCCGCUUGACAGCCAUGAACAGAAACCCGCAGGAGCCCAGUAUGUGGAAGUGACAAGUUUUUAUUAAAUAGCAGAUCCAUUUCGUAUCUUGAGAAGGGAGACGGGAGCAGAGAGCCAUGGUGCAGACUGUCCUGGCUCCGUGGACAAUCAUCUUGGUCAUAUUUGCUGCAGUGCUGGUAAUGAGUUUCCUCAUGUUUCUCCCUCCUGCCGCUGUGCUGCUCUGGAGAAUGAAAACCAUGUCACAGAUCUCUUUGGAUGGAGCUGUGUAGCCUGCCUCCGUCACGGUUGCAGAGAAUGGAAGCCCUGGAGGCUCCUGAAAUGCGGAAGUGCUGUCUCUUCAGUUAUCAGCGUGAAUUGAAAGAUGCUGAUCUUCGAGAUGUCCUGAGACUUUUCGAUGCAAAGGAAUAGGUUUUCUUUCCGCUCGUCCCAAAGUGCCUUGCCGUUCACCACCCUUCAGCGACAACCAGUAUUAUGCUUUUAAAGCAAGUGCAAUAGAUCUAACUCUAGAAGGAUAAUCUUCAAAAGCAAAAUAAAGCAAGAAUCAUUGAUUGAGAUGUA